ACCCGCUGAACUUAAGCAUAUCAAUAAGCGGAGGAAAAGAAACCAACAGGGAUUGCCCCAGUAACGGCGAGUGAAGCGGCAAGAGCUCAAAUUUGAAAGCUGGCUCCUUCGGGGUCCGCAUUGUAAUUUGUAGAGGAUGCUUCGGGAGCGGUCCCCAUCUAAGUGCCCUGGAACGGGACGUCAUAGAGGGUGAGAAUCCCGUAUGGGAUGGGGUGUCCGCGCCCGUGUGAAGCUCCUUCGACGAGUCGAGUUGUUUGGGAAUGCAGCUCUAAAUGGGUGGUAAAUUUCAUCUAAAGCUAAAUAUUGGCCGGAGACCGAUAGCGCACAAGUAGAGUGAUCGAAAGAUGAAAAGCACUUUGAAAAGAGAGUUAAAAAGCACGUGAAAUUGUUGAAAGGGAAGCGCUUGCGACCAGACUCGCUCGCGGGGUUCAGCCGGCAUUCGUGCCGGUGUACUUCCCCGCGGGCGGGCCAGCGUCGGUUUGGGCGGUCGGUCAAAGGCCCUCGGAAGGUAACGCCCCCAGGGGCGUCUUAUAGCCGAGGGUGCAAUGCGACCUGCCUAGACCGAGGAACGCGCUUCGGCUCGGACGCUGGCAUAAUGGUCGU
rnacentral:rRNA from 1 species